GGCACAGAUUCACAUAUACGAAGAUCUGACAAAAUUUCCUAGCUUGCAGUAUUAAAAAGCUCUUCUUUUUUUAUUAACAGAACUGCUCAAUGGUAGCAUUACGUUUGCUAGAGGGUUAUUGAGUUCUAUAAUCUAUUUAAAGUAGUUGAGCUAUAUGCUGAAAUUUUCUUUUCGAAGCAUUGCACAAGGGUCUGAAUGAGUAUUCAACAGCCAUUCAUUACCAUUUUAGUGUCCAA
rnacentral:lncRNA from 1 species